UCUUUGGUCAAUUAGAGGAAGUAAAAGUCGUAACAAGGUUUCCGUAGGUGAACCUGCGGAAGGAUCAUUAUUGAAACAUUGUAAAGGAAGGUUGAGCUGGCUCUUCCAGAGCAUGUGCUCGCCUUUCUUUCAAUUAUUCAUCCACCUGUGCACUUUUUGUAGGAAGACCGAGAAGAUAUAUACCCACGUAUGUGUUGGUAUCGGGCUUUCUAUGUAUUUACACACCCUGAUUGUAUGUUUUUGAAUGUCCUUUAUAAGGGUCCUAGUUGACCCUUUUAAACAAACUAUACAACUUUCAGCAACGGAUCUCUUGGCUCUCGCAUCGAUGAAGAACGCAGCGAAAUGCGAUAAGUAAUGUGAAUUGCAGAAUUCAGUGAAUCAUCGAAUCUUUGAACGCACCUUGCGCCUCUUGGUAUUCCGAGAGGCAUGCCUGUUUGAGUGUCAUUUAAUUCUCAACCUCAAAAGCUUUUUUUGGCUUUUGAGGCUUGGAUGUGGAGGCUUUUUGCUGGCUUGCUUCAGAGUCCGGCUCCUCUCAAAUGCAUUAGUGGAAACUGUUUGUAGUCCGCAUUGGUGUGAUAAUUAUCUGCGCCAUUGUAUUUCGUGGCUACAGCUCAUAACAGUAUUCGCUUCAAACCGUCCUAAGUCGCUGGACAACCCUUGACUAUUUUGACCUCAAAUCAGGUAGGACUACCCGCUGAACUUAAGCAUAUCAAUAAGCGGAGGAAAAGAAACUAACAAGGAUUCCCCUAGUAACUGCGAGUGAAGAGGGAAAAGCUCAAAUUUAAAAUCUGGCAGCCUCGCUGUCCGAGUUGUAAUUUAGAGAAGUGCUACCCGCGCUGGACCGUGUACAAGUCUCCUGGGGCGGGGGCGGCGGGCC
rnacentral:rRNA from 1 species